UGAGGAAUUUUUCCGCAAUGGGCGAAAGCCUGACGGAGCGACGCCGCGUGGGUGAUGAAGGUUUUCGGAUCGUAAAACCCUUUUAGAGGGAAAGAAAUCCGCGGGGUUAACAGCCGCGCGGGAUGACUGUACCCUCAGAAAAAGCUCCGGCCAACUACGUGCCAGCAGCCGCGGUAAUACGUAGGGAGCGAGCGUUAUCCGGAAUCACUGGGCGUAAAGGGCUCGUAGGCGGUUUGCUAAGUUGCAUGUUAAAUCUCCGGGCUCAACCCGGAAACCGCGUGCAAUACUGCCAAGCUAGAGAGCGGGAGAGGGAAAUGGAAUUCCCGGUGUAGCGGUGAAAUGCAUAGAUAUCGGGAAGAACAUCAGUGGCGAAGGCGAUUUCCUAGACCGUUUCUGACGC
rnacentral:rRNA from 1 species